rnacentral:lncRNA from 1 species
CAAACACUGACUGAGGAUCCUGUUUAUAACACAGUCCUUUGAGAGUUUGAGUGACACUGAUCCUCCUGAUUAAAUCAUCACAUUUGCAUACACUGUAUCUGUUUUACAAACACAACGUGUGGUAAGUAUGGAAACACUGGAACUGGGAAAAUGUAUUAAAAUAUUUUUGAUUAAAUCCUUAUUUAUCUGUAACAAUAUUAUAUUCGCUUGUUAUCUUUGAAUCUGAAUUUUUGCAUUUAUCAUUAUUACUAAUGAUAGUGGAUAUUUCAGUCUGUAUAUUGUAUUAUUGAUGUGGGUGGAGUAAUUGUUGUAUGUUUUUAUGAUUGUUGUUUUUUAGUUGUGUUUUUUAGCUGAUAUGAAGUCUGUGGACAGCUGUUGUUGAUAGACUGAUGCUUUGAUGUGACAUUUUGAGCCCCAACAAGUCCUCCAACCCUUUGUCACUAUCCGUUGCCUAAAGUAGCGCCCCUAUUGGCAAAAGGAGGUAUGCUACAUAAACUUUCCCCUAAAUGCAUUGUGGGUUUAUUUUAAUAUGCUUGCUAUUUGCGUUUUGAACUGUUUGUGUUUUAAACUCUCCCAGCUGUUCGAAAUGUUUUGCUAAAAAGAUAUGGAUUUAAGAUGACUUCGAGACAUGUACAGUCACACAUAUUUUUCUUUCUUCCUUUCUCUUGUUCAUGAUGUCAUAUUUUCAGAUCAGUUCUGUCAGAAAGCUGCUUGUAUUAACAGGGAACUUGAACUCGAAGCUCAAUGCUUAACUUGAAGAAGUUGUCAGGGAAGCUGAAGUCCUUCAAAGGUUCAACACUUCACAGGUAAUAUUGAAGACAUUUAGUUAUAACUGAUUUACUUUAAUUAAUUUAAAGUAUGUGUUAAUAACCUUCCUCAUAGUCCUUCCUUUCAAAUAUUUUGUUCACAGAUCAUUUCUAACACACUGUCUCAACAUGUAUGUAUUAAAAAACAACAACAACAACAUUUUCCUUUUUUUAUAUAUAUAUAUCAGUUGAAAAGGAAGACCAAAGGAAGGCCUGUCAAACUCUUGUCAAACC